GGAAAAUAGACCUUCAUCUUCAUGUGUAUCAGGACAUUGAGCAGCAAGCACCACAAGAUGGCCCAGUGGAAAUCAAAAACCAUGAGGACUCAAGGAAACACACUUUCCAGAUGUCCAGAUAUUUUAGCCUUGCAGUCUGGACACAUAAAUCCAAUUGAAUCUGAAUGAGCUUCGGUAUCAUAAGCUUCAAGCUUGAAUUCUACUCUGCACCACACACAUACUGUUGAAAGUUGAUUCAAUUCUUCCAUGUUUAAGAUGAUUCCUCCAGAAUCAAAUCCAACCGAUGCAAAAGCCUCUUUCAUCCUUGCA
rnacentral:misc_RNA from 1 species